rnacentral:rRNA from 1 species
UGCGCAGGCGGUUUUGUAAGUCGGAUGUGAAAUCCCCGGGCUCAACCUGGGAACUGCGUUCGAAACUGCAAGGCUAGAGUGUGUCAGAGGGGGGUAGAAUUCCACGUGUAGCAGUGAAAUGCGUAGAGAUGUGGAGGAAUACCAAUGGCGAAGGCAGCCCCCUGGGAUAACACUGACGCUCAUGCACGAAAGCGUGGGGAGCAAACA